CUUAACAUAAGUACAAAAACAGUUUAAAUGUAUCAAAUAGCUUCAAAUAAGAGUUCAAAAAAUAAGAAUUUCAAAUGAAUCAGAUGUGUGUUCCAAGACUUGCUUCCGUAUGUUUGCAAAAUGAAUGUCUGUCAAUGUGAGCUUCUUCUUCUUGGUGGCUGAAUAGAAAAAAGCUACCGAAGCCAUCAGACCUAUAGUUUAUAUAUCAAAGACAUUUCUUUGUCUGAAUUUCGCGCUCAGAAAAAUACCCUCCCAAAAGGGUGUGACUUAUAAUGAAAACCUGAUACAACAUCUGUUUUACAUCUAUCUCAACCUUUACAUAGGAAAUGGCUCCUAAGAACCUAGUCUAAAUAUUCUGUAGAUCUCAAGAGGAAAUGGCUUGUUUAGGUAAGAAAAGGUGAAAGGUCUGCAGACACAGCUAAAAUCACAUUCUAAACAGAAUGUGGCCUAGCUAAUCAAUCACUGAAAAACAGCCAUAUGAAUUACCUCAAUAGGAGAACACAUUCCAAUCAAAUACAAUUCUUUACUUAAAACAUUAAACAUUUCAAAUGAACAUAUAUAUAUAUUUCAUAUUCAAACUUAUACGUUUUUGGAGUUUCAAAUCUCGAUUUCAGCGAAUUACACAAGAAAAUUAAUAGCUCAAACAGUCUCACAUUCAUUCAUAUUAAAGCGGAUCUCCACCCUCAUUAGGACCACACACAUAUCUAACUACUGCUCCGACGUGACACUGAAUCGGCUAGUUACAGUUUUCUCACUUAUUCUGUACCUUAUUUUCCAGCGUUGUUUCCGGUCUGCCCCCCCCACGGGUUUUCGUCGGGUUUCUGGCGCUUCCUGCGCCGCGCUGUGCAUGCUGGUUGCUCUAGUCCUAGCUGGUAAUAUUCGUCUGUAAUCUAACAUCGCGCGACUUCAUUGUGGAGGAAGUGACGCGGAUGUAAACAGAGGAAAGGGGCGGGCGUUUUAAACUCCAUUACAGAUGUUACUGAUACUGUACGGUACGGUGAAGCAAGCACAGCUGAUGUCUCGUGGCAAUCAAUCCAACUCUAAUCCAUCCGUUCUCAUCUAGUUCUAAGACAUAUCGUUUUGGAGAAAUUCUUACUAUUCAUUACUACUUGAUCUUUAUCCUCUGAUUUUAACAUCAGGGAAAAUUACCUUAUACGAAAUUUGGAUUCAAUACUUCUUGUUCUUUAUCGUCUACUUUUUAACCAGAAUGAAAAGACAAGUGGAUUUUGAUUUAUCAAAACCAUGCCAUAAAUCAAAAAAAAGGGUUAUUUUAUUUUAAUAAAUUAUAUAUUUUAUAUUUUAUCUAUAUUUAUAUAUUUUUUUUUUGUUUAUUAAUUGUCUUUAGUAAGCAUAAUUUUCUACUCUGAUCCUAUAAUUUAACCUGAAUCCCCCUCUCUUUCCCUAUCGAUCCCUUACAGUGAUCAUUUACUGUAUUUUUUUUUUUAACCCUCUACUUUAUAUCUAUCUAAAAAACCUCAAAAAACUAUAAGAAUAUCUAUAACCGUGAAUCCCCCACUACCCACACAACCUAAUAUCUCUCUAUGCACCACCACCCCCCCACUCUUUCAUCUAUCCUUUUCUAUAGUCACCCAAACCCACUAUGCUAUUUCUCUAUCCCCCAUCACUUCUCUCUCUAUAACCACCCACUCUCCCAUCUCUCUAUCCACCACCGCCUCAAAUCUCAUCUCUCUAUCCAUCAUUUUCUGACCUCUGUACCUCACACCCCCCCCCCCCACUCUCAUCUCUCUAUGUACAACCUCCCCCACAAAUCUAAGAUUUCUAUUUCUAUCCACUACCACACUCUAACAUCUCUCCAUACACCACCAACUCUCUAAUCUGUCUAACCACCGCCCCACCGCCCACACUCUAAUGUCUAUAUCCACCACCACCCACUCUAUCAUGACUCUAUCAAUUAAUGUCUCAAUUAUCUAC